CACUCAGCGCCGAUGCUGACAGCCUAGCUGAGAGUCCAACAUCAUCUUCAGAAGGCGAUGGGGGCGUGACGUGUCAGCAGGCCUACAGCGGGGGACAGCCAUCACAGGACAAGUCCUGCAGGGCGACUUUUCUCUGACCUCCAUCUGCAUACGGGCCGGGGAGCUGCUGAGUCGCCUCAUCCCGAGCCGCUUGAAUACGAUCACACGUUAACGACCUUCACAAGUAAACAAGCCAGGCACACGGCCGUCUGCAUACAUGUCAACACUGGGAGCAAGCGGCG